UACGUAGGAUGCAAGCGUUGUCCGGAUUUAUUGGGUUUAAAGGGUGCGUAGGCGGCCUAUUAAGUUAGGGGUGAAAACGUUUGGGUUAACCGGAUACCCGCCAUUGAUACUGAUAGACUUGAGUGCGACAGAGGGUGUUGGAAUGUGUGGUGUAGCGGUGAAAUGCUUAGAUAUCACGCAGAACACCAAUUGCGAAGGCAGAUGCCUAUGUCGUAACUGACGAUGAGGCACGAAAGAGUGGGGAGCAAACAGG
rnacentral:rRNA from 1 species